AAAGAUACACUUCGACUUCUUUUCACGCAGAUGCUCAAUUUACCGGAAACCACUUAUGUCUUCAUUUACGCUGUCAGUUCGGUAUAAGGUGAACGCUGUAAUGUACCCACCACAGCAUCAAUGCCACAGUCGUAGCAAAUAUUAUCAGGCCUCUAUAAAUGGCUUUUGUUAAGUUUGAUUUCGUCUUUUUCUUUCAUAAGAUGUAUAUGAAUAAUUGACGACAAGGAAAGAAGAUAGCAUCAUUAAUUGCUUCUUUUAUCAGUACAACAGAAGCAACUACUAUCAGCCUCCAGAUAUAUCCACAGACCGUUAUCGGAACUGUCGGAAAAUAUACAGAAACAAAAACAAAGAAUAACAACAAAGACAGGCACUUUAAAAUGAGUUAUCUACCAGUCUAAUUGCACUUGUAAACUCUCAUCAAAUAUUAAAACGUUAAAAACCUUUCCUGAUAAUCACCUAUAGAUACCAGUACAUGACAAUAAUGCCUUGGGUUAACAAUAUACGUCAUGGACACAAGAUGUGAUUAUCAACCAUGAAAUUAGAUGGCAGGAAGAACUCAUUAAAACGGACCAUCUUUUUUAACACUUAGAGCCUGUAUGCAAAUGAUGACAAAUGUUUAUAGCACCAAGAGAAUCGUAACUGCUGUACAUAACAUCAGACAGAGGGAUAUACCUGGCUUCAGACAGUGACAGGUAACCCACAGGUAAACCACAGGUAACUCAGGAAACAUGUUAUAUGUAAUUGAACAGGACAGGUGGGCUUAUGCUCAAGAUGGGCCUAUGUUCACAACACUAUGGUACACGAUGGCAAACAACAGGCUUUCUCUGUAUAUAACACAGUACACUCACAAUCCUAUAGAGUCGCUAAUGUCAGAUUGUUUUGUUUUGUUUAUGAACUUUUUUUCUGAAAAAGUUUGGUCAGUAGGUUGAUUUUUUUAUACAAAAAAUACAUUGUACAGGAUCUUUUUUAUUCAUCAUAAAGACUAAUUUGGAUCGAUAUGUGAU